UUUCGCAGGUGCUGAGCUGCUGGGUGGGUGAGCCGGGAGCUGGUGGAGAGAACGCAAAGGCCGGAUGUCGUUUGGUUCUUAUCUGGAAGAUUUGAGGUUGCAAGAAGAGAACUUUCCUUCUCUGCAGUCAGGCAGAGCUCAAGGCAGGUCCUCAGCCUUGUAAGUGUUUCCCACGUGAGAAGCCAGCACCACCACCUUCAUCAAUAUCACCAUGACUUUCAUCGUCAUCACCAUUACAACCACCAUCAUUAAUAUCACCAUCACCUUCACGUAACUACCUCCACAACCACCAUUCUCAAUAUCACCAUCACCUUCAUUACCACCACUACAACCACCAUCAAUAUCACCAUCACCUUCAUCAUCACCACCACCACAACCACCAUCAAUAUCACCAUCACCUUCAUCACCACCACCAUCAUCAUCAAUAUCACUAUCACUUUCAUCAUCACCACCAGCACCACAACCACCAUCAAUAUCACCAUUACCUUCAUCAUCACCAUCACCUUCAUCACCACAACCACCAUCUCACAAUCACUUUCAUCAUCACCACCACCAUAACCAUCGUCAAUAUCACCAUCACCUUCAUCAUCACCACAACCACCAUCAACCAUAUCACCAUCACUUUCAUCAUCACCACCACCACAACCACCAUCAAUACCACCUUCAUCAUCACCACCACCACAAAUCACCAUCAUAUCACCCUCACUUUCAUCAUUACCACAAUCACCAUCAAUAUCACCAUCCCCUUCACCAUCACUACCAACACAGCCACCAUCAUCAAUAUCACCCUCAACUUUAUUAUCACCUCCACCAUCAGCAGCAGCAUCAACUUCAUCAUCACCAUCACCACCUCUGCCAUCAGCAGCAUCAUUAUUAUCUUCAUCAUCAUGGUUUCAGCCACAAUCGGAAUCAACAGCCGUCACCCAGAGUUGAAGGAGGAAGUGGGCUGAGAGAAGCUCUGCCUUCAUAGUUCCUGGGAGGCAUGAACUGGUUGCUGCAUGCUGAGCAUUUCAAACUGGCACACGGUGUCACCCACUCAGAGAACACCCCUGACCUUCCCAAGGAAGCCCUCUGCACUCCGACGCCAUAUACCCGUGAUCUGCACAGGACUGUCACCAUCUGGAAUUGAUUGCCUCUCUUCCCGUUUUGCUAUUGUCAUUUGCACCCACAGGAAUGUCACCCACAUGAGUGUGGAAUUUCAUCUGUCUGUUCGCUGCUGGAUCCCUGCUCUAAGUAAGAAAAGGACCUGUGGCAGAGUGAGCUCUGGAUGAGGAUUUGCUGAGGAAUUGAAUGAGGGAAAGACUCAGAGAAUGGAAUGCUGAGAAUUCUACAAUAAAUAUUUGAAUCCUAGAGUGUUGGAGUCAGGAGAAGCCCUCGGAAGCCAUCUAGACAAACCCAUUCAUUUGCAAAGGGGUAAACUGAGGCUGAGGAGAAAAAAGUGACUUGCUCCACAUCCCAAGGCCUGAGGGUCUUCUCCCUGCUCUGAUGGGAGAGGGACCCCCUUUGUGCUGUUGUGGGUAAAAUGGUGAUGUGUGGCUGGAGGGUGAAGGGGCUUCUUCUGCCCUUUGACUCAUUGCCUAGGAAAAUAGGGACAAAAGGCGCAAAUUUUUUCAAAAUGCAAACAACUAAAGACAACGUCAUUCAGUAGAGACAAAGUGGGUGUUUGGGUUGACAGAGAAACAGAAAAGCUUCCCUGAGGUUGAGGAGGGAAGAGGGGGCUUGAAGGUGGGUGAGCCCCAAAUGUGACCUUCAACUCCUGGGAAGCUGUAGGCAAGGACAUAGCCAAGGCAAAACCAUCAAGAAUGUAAUUCACCAACAGAAACAUUCACUGACCACCCUCGGGGCCUGAAGGUCUUUCCAAAGCCUUGCUGCUGAGCACAUGAUGAACUUCAAACAAUAGCGAAGUCAGGAGCCAGGCGCUGAUGACCCCCAGGAGGAAGCUUGCAGAGGAUGAUGGGACAGAGGGGGAUGGGCAGGAGUCUAAGCAGGCGCUCAGGGAGGCCGCUUUCGUCAAGGAUGCUGAAAGAAUGGGGGUCUCAUGGAUUCUGGGAGAGAUGGUCCAAGGCAGAGGGACAGCCAGUGUGGGCCUGGAAAGAUGUGUGCCGCAUGUCUGAGGGGCAGGGGCCAAUGUGGCUGGAGGUAGAUGGGAGAGGAGGACACUAGGGGCUGAGGUCAGAGGGGACACAACUGGAUCUGUGCGAGACCUUGCAUGCCACUGAAAGGGCGCUGGCUGUCACUGUCGUGACCAGAGCCUCUGGGCAGGUCUUCACAGAGGUCAGGCUGACUGCACUUGCGGAUGGAUUGAAUAGCAGUAGUUAGAGGACAGCAUGCAUGGCUCAGGGAGGAUUCCCAGGAUUUGGGAUGCACAGCUGGAAGAAGGGAGGAGCUCCUGAAUGAGGAGUGGGAGGUCCGGGAAGGGCAGCCUUGGUGGGGAGAGACGCCGGGACCUGCAGAGAAACUCCCUGAAAAGAACAGGGCUGAGCCAUCUUUACCCCAGGCUCAGGACCUUCCUUCGCUGUAACUGCCAGGACAAUCCACUGUGCUGUCACUCAGAGAGCGAAACCAGCCUGACUUUGCACCUGUGUCUCCAAGGGAUAAAGGUCAAUGUCACAGCAGACUCCACUCUGAUGCUGUCUUCAAGCCAAAACCUUAAUAUUCAAUGAGAAAUCUGCAUUGAUGAAAUUUUCAUUAAACAAACUUUAUCCCUCUCACUCCUCUUGUUAUUCGUGGCUUUAAGUAUCAGGCUAAUUUAGGCUUGAUGCCCCAGUGAUCUGCAGAUUGGAGCAUUAUUAAACAUUUAGAUGAGCAAUGAUGAGCCUGAGCCUCCCUCUCCUCUCUCAGCUGGAGCACAGGGGGCUCUGCUAAUGAUCACAAUGGAUUUGGGGCAGACACAGCAAUUAGAGAAUUAUCUAUAGUUUGAGCAAGAUUUGACCCCUCUGUCUUCAAGGGAAAUUAGCUGCUUGACUUACAGAGCACACAAUUUAAUUGAUAAAAUGUAUGAAAAGAAAAUUCCAGCCUUAGAGCCAGUUUUACAACUAACAAGCUGUGCAAAUGCCUGAGCAGACCCCUCUUUCUUUCUGUACCUCCUCUUGCCCCAUCCGUAGAGUAAGGAGGGCUAGACCAGGGCAGAGGCUUCCACAUGUGGGCUGUGGGCUGAAAUCAGCCUGGAGAGGGGCUCUGUCUGGCAAACUGUUUCAUUUGUUUGUUUAGUGAACACUUUCCUAGCACUCAUGAUUUUGGGUUCUGUGUGUUUCAUGUAUGUUAACUUGUCUCAUUCUCCCAAUACCCCUUGAGAUAGGCACUCUUAUUAUUCCCAUUUUAGAGAUGGGAAAACUCUGACCAAGAGGGGUUCAAUGCCUUACUGUGGGUCAUCUGCUGGGCAGGAGUAAGGCAGGGUUUGGACCCAGAUGGUCUGGUUCCACAGCCUAUGCUAUAAACUUCUGUGCCAAACUGUUUUUAUUAUUAUUAUUAUUAUUAUUAUUAUUGGAGGCAUAAUGUUUAAAAUGAAAUUGUCAGAAAUUUAAGUGUGUGUGUUCUUGACAUCAAACAGCUUAUAUGUUACAAUAACGGAGCUCUCCCAAUACUCAGUCCGCCUUCCUAUCUUGCCACAGGCAGCUAUUACCAACGUGCCCUUAGGGUGGAACAUUCUCCUCCUGGUCUACCUCAGUCCCUCCAGUCCUAGAGUCUCCCCAUCACCACGGCCAAAUAUAGCUCAUCUUUGAUAACUGAAUUUACCCUCUUGAUCAUGCUUGGAUUGCUUCAUUGUUUGACUUACCUGCUUGGUGCUGGUAGGCAUUUAGGAGUUGUUUGAAGGCAUCAGAAAGCAACCCAGGCUGCCAGGACUUGAGGGUCCACGAUCCCAUGGAAAAGCGAACUGCAACGAGGUAAGCCCUACAUUCUCCUUGAAGCUAGUAGCCUUGAAUCUCCUUGAGCUAGUAGCCAAUUUGUAAGUGCAGAGGGGUUGAGAAAGCAGAAAGCAGUGGCUCAGAGUUGUAUGCCAAGUUCACAGAUCUGGGGAGACGAAAGUUGACAUUCAAGCUGACAAGAAAGCCAGGGUUUGAGGGACAGAGAUGUCAGAGAAAAUGGGACCCCUGACAGUGAGUCUGAAUUUCUGUAUCAGUGUUUGCUGAUCCAGAAUGAGAUGCUCAGAAGCCGAGCUGAAAGUGGGCCCCCAAAAGCUAAGAAACCAAGCAGUUUUCAUCAAUAUCAUGAUGCCGUAACAACAAAAAUUAGGGUUUAAGACUCAACAAACAGGAGUUCUGGAAAAUAUGCAAGUCUUUCAGUUGAGGUCCUCCAAGGAAUUGCCCUAGAAGAAAGAUCAAACCAAAAUAAAGUAGGCCUUAUAAAGACAGAAAAUCAGCCUUAAAUUACCUUAAUCCCAGAUUGAUUAAGGUAAUCUGUGCCUACCAUCGUGGUUGACAGAAGAAUUUAUUCUCUGGGAAAAGAUAUCAAGAGACACUCAGUUUUUCAAAUAAAAUAGCCAGAAGUCAUAAAAAAAAGUCAUCAGAAGUAUUAAUAACAGGAGCAGGUGCAAAUGACCAAAAACCAAGCAAUAAAAAAAAUAGACAACAAGAAAAGACCCACAGAUGAUUAGUUACUGAAAUGAUCAGAUACAAACUUUGAAAUAGCAAUUAGUGAUAUAUUAAUUUAAAAAAUGAAAAGCUGGAAAAUUUCAUCAGAAAAAUGGAAUUUAUAAAGCAGAAUCAGAUGAAUAGUCUCAAACUGAAAAAUAAAAUAACUAAAAUUGAAAAUACAAGUGAUAGGUACAUCAACAAUUUAGACAAAGCAGGAGAUAGGUGUGUUGAAAAUCUACAGGCUGAGGUAUGGCAUAAAAACUUUGAAAAUAUAAAAAAGAGCAUCAGAAAAUAUAGAAUAUGAUGAAAGAUCUAAAUACACGUAAUUGAAAUUCUAAGGCUGGGUGCGGGGACUCAUGUCUAUAAUCUCAGCACUUUGGGAGGCCAAGGUAGGUGAAUUGCUUGAGCCUAGGAGUUUGAGGCCAGCCCGGGCAACGUGGUGAAAUCCCGUCUCUAUGAAAAAU
rnacentral:lncRNA from 1 species